ensembl:lncRNA
GUGUGCGUGCUCCCAGUUGUCCUCCUGAUCACAUCAUCAGCCUUGGUGUCCUCCUUAGGGACAGUUUCUUUGCUUUCAUGCCAUCCUCGGUGGUUCCUGUUCGGGCGGAGAUGUUUGUCUUUCUACCCAGUGUGGAGCUCCUGGAGUGAUGCCACUUUUCUAUGCUCUCAGUCUGGAGGUGACCUUGUAUCCAUCCACACGCCAGAGGAUCUGCAGUUUGUUGCUCAGGUAGCAAACACAAGCGCUCAUGUGUGGCUGGGCGGUUACCAGGAGCAACAGAACGGCUCCUGGUUCUGGACUGAUGACACGCCCUUCAGGAUCAGCAGCUGGAUCAGUGGCACAAAAACAGCAGGAGCAGCUGGGGCUUGUAUGGAAAUGACACCUAAUGAUGGAAAGCUGCAAAGCGCCCCGUGUGACGAGCUCAAGUUCUACAUCUGCUCCAUGAACGCCAGCUCUGCUGUCAUUGAAAGCACCGAGGAGAAACCUGAACCAGGUAUUGUCCCCGGCGUGGAUUUGUUUGAUGUCCUUUGGAGCAAAAGCGAUGCACUAGCAGAGGAGAUCCUCCACUCGUACUCCUUUAUAAGAGAGCUGCAGUCUGGUCAUGUGACAGAGCAGUGCUACUCCAGCUUCAUGCAGCAGGAGGCGCUGUAUUUAACAAGAGUCAGAAGCACUCUGGAGGUCCUGAUUCGUAAUCUAGAGGAGACUGACGACAUUAGGCCACUGCUGCUGGACACACUUAAACUCUACAGCAGCACAAACCAGAGCCUCCUAGCUUCACCUCCCCCACAGGGCCUCUAUUAUCCUCUCCAACUGUACCACUCUGUGGUUUUGGAGGAGCCAGUUUAUUGGUUAGUGGCUCUGUCGGCCCGGUCCUGUCUACGUUACUUCCUGGCUCAAAAACUGCUUCGCAAGCCGCUGAUGUCCAGGUCCAUGACUAACAGCUUCUACCAGAAGUGGAGCAAAGACAGCAUGAAGGAAGUCACCUGGAUAAACAGGUACAAAAAGGUGAUAAAGGAGAAUCAGGAUCAUAUGGAUGUAUUUAAAGCCAUCAAUAUCUUCAGAGAGCACAUGAUGGCCCAGAAGGCUUUCUACAAGGCUCUGGUCUGUUCAUCUGAAGAAGGCAAACAAUGAAGGAGUGAAGCAAGACAGACGUCACUGCUGGGAUGAAGGAAACAACUUUAACUCUCUUCAAUCAAGAAAGCUUGGUUAAAAAAUUGCUGCUUUCUGAGGAGCUUGGAAAGAAAAGCAACUGGACUUCUUUGUUUCACGUUUCAUCUCUGAGGUGAAACGUCUUCAAGAAACUCAAAGAAGUCCAGUCAGUAUUCUUUCCAAGCUCUUUGGAUUGCUGUUAAGGAUUUUUUAUGACAUAUAUACCUGUAUACACUGGAAAUAUACUGACAUAUAUGCUAUGUAACCAUAUAUGCUCGUAUACACUAUAUAUAUAUUGUACUGGAGUGUUUUAUACAUUGGAAUCACUGUGUUAAGCUUCUAAUCUACAUAUUCACAUAUCACAAUACUCAAAUAUUUAGGUCAAAUAUUAUGUACAAUUAUAUUAACGAGGUUUGUGCCACUUGUUUUAUGAGCACGUGUUGAUCAGUACUGCUUGAAAUAUAGUAAUUAGGAUCAAUAAGUAACCUUUGAUCAUGUUAUAUCCAUGGUGACAAGUCCAAACACAGUCAAUCCAACUUGGCACCUGGGACUCUCUCUCUCUGCUCAUCUUCA